rnacentral:tRNA from 3 species
AGAGUAGCUCAGUUGGUAGAGCGUCAGCCUUCCAAGCUGAAUGUCGCCGGUUCGAACCCGGUCUC